CUGCUGCCUUCCGUAGGAGUUUGGUCCGUGUCUCAGUACCAAUGUGGGGGACCUUCCUCUCAGAACCCCUAUCCAUCGUCGGUUUGGUGGGCCGUUACCCCGCCAACUGCCUAAUGGAACGCAUGCCUAUCUAUCAGCGAUGAAUCUUUAGCAAAUAUCCCCAUGCGGGGCCCCUGCUUCAUGCGGUAUUAGUCCGACUUUCGCCGGGUUAGUCCCCUCCUCGAUAGGUAAGUUGCAUACGCGUUACUCACCCGUGCGCCGGUCG
rnacentral:rRNA from 1 species